rnacentral:rRNA from 1 species
UACAGAGGGUGCGAGUGUUAAUCGGAAUUACUGGGCGUAAAGCGUGCGUAGACGGUUGCGUAAGUCAGAUGUGAAAGCCCCGGGCUCAACCUGGGAAUUGCAUUUGAGACUGCGUAGCUAGGGUGCGGAAGAGGGAAGCGGAAUUUCCGGUGUAGCGGUGAAAUGCGUAGAUAUCGGAAGGAACACCAGUGGCGAAAGCGGCUUCCUGGUCCAGCACCGACGUUCAGGCACGAAAGCGUGGGGAGCAAACAGG